GGCUCCAUAGUGGUUAGCACAUCUGCUUUACAUGCAGAAGGUACUGGGUUUGCGCCCCACAUGGAGCCA
rnacentral:tRNA from 1 species